GUCCCCAUCGUCUAGAGGCCAAGGACACUGCCCUUUCACGGCGGCGACCGGGGUUCGAAUCCCCGUGGGGACGCCA
rnacentral:tRNA from 1 species